GCGAUACGAGACAAUUCGACAACAUGAAGGCAGUGUUUGCAGCUCUGAGCGUGCUCCUCCUGGCGGCCCUCGCCCUGGCCAGCCCUGAGCCCGAGCCACAGCCCGGCUACGGCGGCUACGGCGGCUACGGUGGUGGACGUGGCGGCGGAUAUGGCGGCUACGGAGGGUAUAGCGGCUAUGGUGGUGGACGCGGCGGCUAUGGUGGUGGAUAUGGCGGCUAUGGCGGUGGACGCGGCGGCUAUGGUGGUGGAUAUGGUGGCUAUGGCGGUGGACGUGGCGGUUAUGGUGGCGGCUACGGCGGCUAUGGCGGUGGACGUGGCGGUUAUGGUGGCGGCUACGGCGGGUAUGGUGGUGGACAUGGCGGCUAUGGCUACGGACGCUAAGGAUGAGGCAAGGCGGCGCUCCACUUGCUGUGUGGAAUGCAUUCCAGGGAGCGGCGCCCCCCUCGUCUUCCUUCUCCAGGGGCGGCGCCGCAGGGGAAUUGGAGAGAGGUUCUCCAGAGGAAACUCGCACGGCCAUCAAGAAGAAAUAGAGGAGGAAGGGAGAAGGGAGCCCCCCCCCCCCAAACACCUGGAGCCCCCCCCCCCAAACACCUGCCCUUCCUCCCCUCGCCCAAAGCUGACAAACAAGACAGUCUAUCCAAAAAUUCAUAUUUGGAACCAUUUUUGUUCCUUCAAUAAAUUAUUUAAAACAA